rnacentral:ncRNA from 2 species
AACAGCACCAUACUUCGAGCUCUGUACAGCCUACAGCGGCAUCCGUCGAUUACGACGGCCUGCAGCCACGGCGCAGAGCCGAUGGGCCUUACCCGAAAGGGUUCGACCUCCCGAAAUUUGGAAAGGAGUAUGGCAUGUACGAU